rnacentral:rRNA from 1 species
UGGGCGUUAAGUUGCAGGGUAUAGACCCGAAACCCGGUGAUCUAGCCAUGGGCAGGUUGAAGGUUGGGUAACACUAACUGGAGGACCGAACCGACUAAUGUUGAAAAAUUAGCGGAUGACCUGUGGCUGGGGGUGAAAGGCCAAUCAAACCGGGAGAUAGCUGGUUCUCCCCGAAAGCUAUUUAGGUAGCGCCUCGUGAAUUCAUCUCCGGGGGUAGAGCACUGUUUCGGCUAGGGGGCCAUCCCGGCUUACCAACCCGAUGCAAACUGCGAAUACCGGAGAAUGUUAUCACGGGAGACACACGGCGGGUGCUAACGUCCGUCGUGAAGAGGGAAACAACCCAGACCGCCAGCUAAGGUCCCAAAGUCAUGGUUAAGUGGGAAACGAUGUGGGAAGGCCCAGACAGCCAGGAUGUUGGCUUAGAAGCAGCCAUCAUUUAAAGAAAGCGUAAUAGCUCACUGGUCGAGUCGGCCUGCGCGGAAGAUGUAACGGGGCUAAACCAUGCACCGAAGCUGCGGCAGCGAACGUAUCACCCAAGACAACUUUACGGAGUUGACGAUUGACGGAGCGAAGCGACGUCAAAGCGUUCAUUAAAGUCGAGUUGGCUUAGGGAUACGUUCGUUGGGUAGGGGAGCGUUCUGUAAGCCUGUGAAGGUGUGUCGUGAGGCAUGCUGGAGGUAUCAGAAGUGCGAAUGCUGACAUAAGUAACGAUAAAGCGGGUGAAAAGCCCGCUCGCCGGAAGACCAAGGGUUCCUGUCCAACGUUAAUCGGGGCAGGGUGAGUCGACCCCUAAGGCGAGGCCGAAAGGCGUAGUCGAUGGGAAACGGGUUAAUAUUCCCGUACUUGGUGUUACUGCGAAGGGGGGACGGAGAAGGCUAUGUUGGCCGGGCGACGGUUGUCCCGGUUUAAGCGUGUAGGUGUGUGUUCCAGGUAAAUCCGGUUCACUUUAACACUGAGGCGUGACGACGAGGCACUACGG